AUACGGAGGAUCCGAGCGUUAUCCGGAUUUAUUGGGUUUAAAGGGUGCGCAGGCGGCCAUUUAAGUCAGCGGUUAAAUCGUGGGGCUCAACCCCAUUCUGCCGUUGAUACUGGGUGGCUUGAUUGCGGUCGAGGUUGGCGGAAUUCGUUGUGUAGCGGUGAAAUGCAUAGAUAUGACGAAGAACACCGAUUGCGUAGGCAGCUGACCAGGCCGCAAAUGACGCUCAUGCACGAAAGUGCGGGGAUCGAACAGGAUUAGAUACCCUGGUAGUCCGCACAGUAAACGAUGAAUGCUUGUUUUCGGCGAUAUAAUGUCGGAGGCAAAGCGAAAGCGAUAAGUAUUCCACCUGGGGAGUACGCCGGCAACGGUGAAACUCAAAUGAAUUGACGGGG
rnacentral:rRNA from 1 species